AAUUUUCAUUUUACCGACCUCAGAGCAGGUGAGAUUACC
rnacentral:rRNA from 1 species